UACUACAAAAACCAAACCAAACAGCCACUUUAAAAUAAAAAGAAACAAAAAGAAGAAGCGAGAAACAGAGAGAGAUUCUGAGUAAGGUAUGACAUUGACAGACUUCAUUAACUCUCUUCCAAGAACCAAAACUCUCAAUUAAAACCCUAAACUUCAAUCAAUCAACACAACCAGCAGCAACAGAAGAUUAUUUGAAUUUGAAAGUAACCCUAAACUUUCAAAGAGAUGGUUGAUGGUAAUUCCACUGGAGAAAUGGCUCCAAAGAAGCAGCAGCUUCCAAAUAAGGAGGUUGACAAGCAAAAUUGCACCACCAUGGAAGAAGUUAUUGCUUUAUCAGAUGAUGAGGAACAAGAUGUUGAAUAUCUGAAGAAAUUGAAGUCGAAACUGAGAAAGGAAAUCGAAAUACUUAAGGAGCAAAAGAUGAUGUUGGGUAAAACUACUCAGUUAUUUCACAGGCAAUUGACAAUGGAAGUGGAGCCGAAUUAUUACUCGCUAAGGGAAGAGAAUGUUUUACUUAAGGAAGAGAAUCGGAGACUCAGAAGUAAUGUUAAAUCGCUCAAUGAAGAGAAGGAUGAAUUGGAAAGGGAUGCUGAUUUGCUCUGCAAGGAGAUUGAUAAAUUGGGAUGUGAACUUGAAAUGUUUCGCAAAGAAAAGUCUGCGGUGGAAAAUGAUUUAGAAUUGCUCAAUAAAAAUAGGGAGGAAUUGGUGAAUGAUCUUGAAUCGCUAAAGGUGGAGAAGGAUGAAUUGGAAAGGGAUUCUGACUUCCUCUGUAAGGAGAAUGAUAAAAUGGGAUGUGAAAUUAACAAACUUCGCAAAGAAAAGUCGGAAGUUGAAAAUGAUCUGAAAUUUCUCAACAAACAAAGGGAGGUAUUAGUGAAUGAUCUUGGUUCGCAGAACGGAGAUAAGGGUAUACUUGGCGAUGAGAAGUUGGAACUCAGAAGAGGUAUUGAAUCACUCACAAAGAAGAAGGCUGAAAUGGGAAGUGAAAUCGAAUCGCUUGACAAGGAGAAGACUCAACUAGGAGCUGAGACUGAGUUACUUAACAAGGGCAAGACGAAAUUGCAAGGUGAUGUUGAAAUUCUCAACAAAGAAAAGUCUACCGUACAAUGUGAUAUUCAUUCGCUCAAUGAAAAGAAGACUAUUUUGGAAAGUGACAUUGACUCUCUUCACAGUGAGAAGACUAACUUGGGAAAUGAGACUGAGUUGCUCAACAAGGAGAAGACGAAAUUGCAAACUGAAAUUGAGUUUCACAACAGAGAAAAGUCUGCAGUACAAGAUGAUAUUUGUUUGCUCAAUGAAACGAAGACUAUUAGGAAAAGCGAAAUCGAACCACUUGGGAAUGAGAAGAUUAACUUGGGAAAUGAGAUUGAGUUGCUCAACAAAGAUAAGACUAAAUUGCAAACAAUGCAAAGUGAAAUUGAGUUUUUCAACGAGGAGAAGAUGAAACUGCGAAAUGAUUUCAAAUUUCUCAACCAAGAGAAAGCUAAACUAGGAAUGGAUGUUCUGCUACUCAAGAAGGGAAAGUGUGACGUGGAAACUGAUCUUGAAUUCCUCCAAGAUACGAAGAAUAAGCUGCAUAGUGAUAUUGAAUCUUUGAACAAAGAGAAGGCUAAACUUGGAAUCGAUUAUGAACUCACCAACAAAGAGAAGGUCAAGUUGCAAAGUGAUAUUGAACUUCUCAAUGAGGAGAAGGUCAAAUUGCAAUCUGAUAUUGAAUUUCUCAAUGAAGAAAAGGCUGAAUUUAUUCGGUCCGUGACAUCUGAUGUUAAUGAAUCUUUUUAUGAACGUGAGAAGACAUUGGCUGAGAAUGAAAGAAUGUUCAUAGAGCUUAAAGAGAUGAACCAAACAUUGGUUGCCAAGGAACGGUUUUACACUGAAGAGCUUCAGGAAGCUCACCAAGAACUUAUCAAGCAAAUGGAGUCGGAAAAGCCAACCAAAAGUAGGGUGAUUGGAGUCAAGAGAAUGAGAGGAGAUCAAGUGCUCUGGAAUUUUAAGGAGAAGAAAAGAGCCACACUGAAGGAUGUGAUUAGUUUUCGGUUGAGCCGUAAAAGUAGAAAAAACAGACCAACACAUGAGCCUUAGAAUCUCUCCUGUUUUUACACAUUGAGGGUAGGAAGAACCGCAGAAGGGAUUCCUAUGUAUAACCAGGAAAAGUGCCUGCUGCUGGGAAAAGUGCCUGCUGCUGGGAUUCUUAUGUAUAACCAGGGAAUUUGAGAAAAUUCGGAUUAUCCCCUUCAUUGGUAUAGGGAAUUUGAGAAAAUUGGGAUUCUCGGAGUGUAGUUGGUAUGAAGAGAAUGGGAGAGUUAGAUUCGAAACCAUUUGGUGCAGCGUUAAAUGACAGUUGUCUGUCAUCUUCGACGAAUCAAGUUUCUAGUCAGUCUGUCCUACUUUUCCUCUUUUGUCAGAGACCAAGCUUGGCAUAUUAAAUUUACCUGUACUGAUGGGAAGCAUCAGGGGAUGAUGAACGUAUAGAAUAAAUAAGGGAUGAGGUAUGAAGCAUAUUUUGCAGUUGUCAGUGGAUUUCUGGAGAUGAAUGAGGACAACCCAGGUGGUCCAAAUCCUGGUCAAUAACUUAUUUACUAGACAGGCGGCAGGUUAUCAAGCAAGAUGGAAAUAUUCACUCAAGAACCUGGGAAUCUUCACCCACUGGCCAUUUCUCCAUCAAUUCCAACAUACAAAUCUUGGAUGGAAUCCAAUCAAGACAUCCCAGCACCCAUUAUCCCACGCAAAGCCAUCUGAAACUUGAAUCUUCCACCUUAACUAUUUCUCUAAACGAAAUACCAAGACUCUUCACCUGGCUCAAACAUGAUCAUCUAGAGGCAUUUUUUGCAGGCCCUGCAAAAGAAGUCUGGGAUAUGGUUCGUGCUGCAGUUGGGUUAUAUGGUCUGAGCAAAAUAGAAAGAGUUUUUAAGGUGAAAUCUGACUCACUUCCAGGUGAGUAUGGAGGGGGCUAAAUCAGUUGGGAGUUAUGCUUUCAACAAAUCUUCAAUUUCAGGCUUGACUGGUGCAUCAUCUCUUUGCAAAGCAUGUUCCAUUUACUGCCAAUUUUCAAUGCUAGUCUUCACAUCCAACUGUAUCCCCUUUGCUUGCUUCUAUUUUCUGCUGCAGCUUUUCAUUUGUUACAUUUAGUCUGUACUGUAUUUGCUACUUUUUACUCUUAUCUAAAACCAAACGGCAACAAAAAUCA